AUAAAGAGUGUAGUCAGUGA
rnacentral:piRNA from 1 species